GUAGGAAGCCCAGGUCAAGCUAAAAAGUGAACAAAGAGUGGUUAACCUGUAGAGAAACAGUACUGUGAUGGGGUUGUGAAUUUCCUGCAGAAGUUAGCCUGCCAGGUGAGUGAGGUAGCAGGCUCACCAGGAGAGGUGCUGUCGAGGAGAUGUGUGUCACUCCUGAAAAUGGUCUUAAGACGGAUGUAUGGCUUGGUUUGAUAAACUUCUGAAUACUGUAGAAAGUCAUCAGCCAGAUUUCACCAACAUAUGUACAGCCUCAGAGUUAUUGUGCUUCCUUCUAACUAUACUGAUAUUAGAAUACUUCUAUUCCAAUGGCUGUGAGCAUGAAACAACAUGGCUUUGUGAUGAAGACCCCUUCCAUGAAUCAAUCAAGCACAUGUAUAUCUUUAAUUGAAG